rnacentral:lncRNA from 1 species
UUAAGUAUUUUGUUUGAAUCACUAUCAUCCAAAACUUUGCCAUUCCUUUUCUUCUCGGUUAUUUCUGCUAUUCUAAAUAAAUUAACAGUAUCUGUCCUAAAGCUCAUUUUCAUAAAGAGCUAGAAUUCAAUAAUUUUUAUACUUGGUUUUGAUGUAUUCGUGAUUCCCUUUUCCUUUCCCGAAAAAAUCAUGUAGCGGAAGUCUGUAUCGGCCGAGACAGAAAAUGUAUUGCUUGCUUUCCGUUGAAUUUUGACUUAUAACAUUGAAUGAGAUUUUUUUUUUUAAAUUUUUGUCAAAUUUUUCGUCGCCAAGAAUCCAUCUUGAUAAAAUAAAUGAACACCGUUUCAAAUGACUAUAGAAGGUAAUCUCUAUUUGCUCAUGAUGAUAUGCUGGUUCAAGUAUAUAUAUUGCUGUGUCUACAGUUUUUUGAGAUUGUAGGACAUCAACGCCAAGUCAAUCUGAGAAGAUUGUUUGUUUCUUUGUUAGGAUACUUCUCUUUUGGAUAGUACCUUUUUAAGAUGACCACGAAUUUAAACCUCACAAAAAGCUCACCCAAAACUUUUGAAUUUGGAUAUUGAUUUGUCAACCCGUCAAGACCAACGUUCAAGUAUCCAAUCAAUAUGGAGGGAAACGGGUCUUUCUUUUUAUUACUGAUGAUAGAUUGGAAGAAAGAUGUAGACAGCUCAUUUGGUCCAUAUGCAUAUUUUACGGAAAACGUCACUCCAUUCAUGGUCAUACAUAUUCUAUUCCAAUCACUCUUGCUAGAGUAACCCUUUACAAAAAUCAAAUCAUUAUCUUAUUAAGUAAUUAGAGUCAGAACACCUUUAUUGUCGUUAUCUCCAUUAAAAAAGGGUAGAAACUUUUUUGAAAGGCAGUGAAGACAAUUUGGAUUGGAUUUUUUUUUCUCCUGAAGAUAGAUAAUGUCUGAAUCCACUAACAGAAGAUGGAUCAUUAAUACAUGCCUCAAUUUCCUAUCUUUUCCACCCCUAAUGUUUAAAGAAAGGAAUUUGUUCAAUGCCCGUAUUCUAUUUAAAAUUAUUGGAUAAUGUUUCUAAAUAAAUAUCAAAGGUUCCGGCCUGUUUUGAUUCAGAGUAUAUAAAAGUUCCAUAUCUUUAUUCAUAAUAAUAGAUUUAGAAAUAAAGUAGAAACUAAGACUAUGAUUCCUAAGGUGAAGAUUGGGAAUCUCUUGAUUGCUUUCCACUCUGUUUAGGAGAAUGCCCCGUUUAAGGAUUAUUUCUUUAACCCAUCGAUAGGCAACGAGUGCAAUGUUCCAAUACCUUUGGCAAUCGAGAUAUGAUUUCAUCGAUUUUUAGGACUAACCCUACUUCUUCUCUAGCAUAUUUCAGCCGAAAGAACUCCAUCAGAUUGCCAGGUUAGGUUAUUGUUGGGCAUGUUAAAGCUCAAGGGGACAUCCCUUGGUAUAAUUUCGAUUUGAGGACUAUUAACAUCACCCUCAUUGACGAUAAGAUGCCUAGAAGCGUCAUUAUUCGCAACCUCACCAUCUUGUAUUUUGCAUUUUUUGACAGUCCCCCCUCCUCAGGCACUGAAGAUGGAUAAUUAGAGGGUAAAUGAAUCAGCAAUAGGACAUCAUGUGGAACUUGGCUUUUGCCUGUAGUACAAGUGAUAAGGCGUUCGAACCCUCUCGUAUAUUUAUCACCAAGGACUCCCUCUCCCCGAAGCACCAAUGUUAUGAGAGUCUUUUUCUUCUUCGGAUGACAGGCGUUGUGAUAUUGUUUUUUUAGCACUUUUUCAUAUUAAAAGGUUAUCUUCCUUUUUUUCAAAACAAUACUGCUUAAUAUGGCCAAAAUUGAAGCACCCUUGGCAUGGGAGCUUAACUCCCAAAAAGUUACAUUUGACUAACUAACCUUGAAUUGGCACAAUUUGGGGGAUGGAGGACGGAUCUGUGAUAUAAUCGCUAUCUCUUCAAACUUCUUUGUAAUUUAAAUACUUUGCUUUCACUUUUUUGCCUAUGGGGUCUUUUUCGGGUAGUGGUUCGAUACAUCACCAAAUUGCUUCAAGAAGGCGACAACUUUUGAUUCAUCAACCCGUUUGAACGUAUUGACAAGAGUAAUCACAAUAUUUUUCUUUUUAUCAAGGGAGAACUUGUCUAUUCAUUUCAGUUUAAAGGCACCUCCUCGAAUAUGCCCUCUAUAUUUUUUACUUUCAACUUUUGAGGAUUUUGUAAAUCCUCAAGUCUAACUUUAAUAUCAAUGGGGAACUUUGUAUACAUACAAGCCUGGCCCAUUCCAAAUCUUUGGUUGGCCCCUGCAAUUUUGUUAUCUUUGAAGCCGAACUGCAACAUCAUAUACAUCAACAUGAUUGAAAUUAUAUGCUUUGAAAGUCUUUCCAUAAACAUUUUCAAGCAUAAGAACAAAAAUUUCCCCCCCCGGAAGUCGUAACUCAAAUUAAUUUCAGUAUCUGUAUCUUUAUCAAUACUCUUUUCUCGUUUAAGGAAAGUGGCAUAUUGCCUUUGUGAAGAUUUCAAAUAGCAAACGUUUUCAUCAGGGGUUUGUUUUGUUGGUUCAUCGAGUGUCUUAACGAGAGAUGAAGAUGAAGUAAAGAAGGCGCUUCUUCAAACUUGUAAGAUUGCAAGAAGAAGAAGAAAAUAAAUAAAGAAAGGAGACGAGAUCUAACACACGGUCCCUUUCCAAUAGGAGGAACAAAAUAGUGAUAGAUAUCAAUUAAAUUAUUCCUUACCUUGAUUCUCCAGAAUCUCCAGAGACGAAUUCAAAAUCACAGUCCGAGAUGUCUGAGCUUCAAUUAAAAAAAAAAGUCCUCUUUAAUGUCAAAUAUAUACUCGAUAUUAACCGAAAAUAAAUAAGUCCACACCGAAUGGUUACUUUCCAAUAAUACUAAAUACUAUUAAUGCGACAGAAAGAAACACGUCUGCACGCAAAAAAGGAUAUACAUGAACAUAUAUUAUUUUGUUUUUUUAUAACAUAUAGUAAGCUAUACACUACGUUAAUUUCAUUAUCUUUUGUUAUUGAGAGAGGCCUAAAUUUACACAUGGUCAUUCGAGCCAGAUAUUGAACAUAAGUUGGAUGGUGUUUUUUCGAAAUAUUAAGUAAUUAACUUGAUUUUGUACGAUAUUAAUAUAUUUUCAGAGUACAGACUGAACAAAAUGGUCUUGGAAGUGUACAGGGUCAAUUAUAAAAUAACUAAUGGUUUUGAAGUCUAUUGAGUCAAUUCUAAGCCAUACGCAUUUUGAUUCAAGCUGAAAGGGUUCAUUUUAAUACAAAAUACAUUUAGUUAUAUUUCUUUCCAUAUAUUAGAAAACUAGAUUAUCUUGAGUGCUCUUUGAAGCUUAAGGGGCUCAUUGUGCUUUUGUAAUCUACGAACUCAUUGUUAUGGCAAUUUGUUCUAAAAAUAACAAGAAUACCGAUAAUAAUACACAAACAGGUCCUUGAAGUGAAAGUAAAUUAUUGAAUUGUAUUUUGAGAGCAGUUGAUUAAAUCAAAUUAAAUAAUGUCAAUAAGACUCACAUCACUGAAAAUCAAAUUGAUUAGACUUGUUAAAUAAGAAUCUAAAUUAAAAAUUCAAAAAUAAAUUAUUCUUAUUUUUUUUAAAUAGAAUCUUUAACAAGAAAAAUGAGAGGAAGAUAAUAAUUCUAAAUCGAUAUCGAUUGAGGGUCCAGAACCUUGGGAAUUAUUACGAAAACAACUUCCAACUAAUUUAACCUUAGAGUAAGAACCGAUCGUCAUCAUAUAGCUUAAUUCACUCAAUCUGUUAUGCCAAAAAAGUAAUUCAGGAGUGUGCCUCUCGAAAUGAUAAUAAGACUUUUGAAAGAAAGAUCACUUCCGAAAUGGGGUCGCCAAAGAUAUAAUAGGAAUAAAGCUAAUAAGGAUGAUAUUCUGAAUGGAUAAAAGAAAGAAGGUUGAAAUUUUAGUCUACAUUAGUCCUACUAACACCGUAUAUAUGUUCUCAAUCAGCAAACAGACGUUCUGGAGGCUCAGGAAACUGUAUUUUCUCUCAGCAUAACAUUUUCCCGAGAUUUAUCAGGGGUUCAAUAUAUCUCAUUUUGUGUAUUAAAAAUAUUGAAGGUUUUUUCAUCAUUGAAAUAAAUGACAAUGUUUUCAUGAUGUUUAAGGUAUGUGUAUAUGGCAUUGGAGACGAGAGUUUUUUUUUUUUUCAGACCAAGUAAUGGUCGUUUCUUAAGUCUUACCAACUUACCACAAGUAAAUUUUACGUCUCUAGACACUGUGGACUAGGCUUCAAAUGCCUCUCAGGCAGCAACUGGAGUUGGUUUUGUAGGUCAACCAGUGUGAAGUCAAUGUCAUUUCCAGAUUCAAAUCGUUUACCCUCUUAACCCUCCAAACCGUCUCGUUACUGACUAGAAACUCCAUUAAGCAUUGAAAAUUAUAUUUAAAUUACAUUUCUUAUCUCUGUUGCGCACUUCAACAAUGUUUACCGCCACCAAAAAUAGCUGAAUUACCUCUAAAUGAGUUUUUUUACCUUGUUGGUGAUAUUGUUUAUCAUCUGUUUGUUUUUUUGUUUUUCUUUAUCUGGAGAAAUUGUUUUUGCUAUUGAUGUUGUUAUUAAUAUAUUUCUUCAUUAUUAUUUGGAUAAAAAGAAGGAUCCUUUUUUCAUUAAUUGAUAUACAAGGUCGUUCAAGUAAAUCCAUACCAUCUUUGACUACAUGCUGAACUAUACUAAAAAUAUUAAACUCGUUUAUUUCAAUUUAAAAUUGAGAAUUGAGCCAUAAAUUUAAGUUAGUUGUGCAACUUUUAACUCCAAACAAGUAUUGACGAUAUAGGAGAUGUAGAGGAUCACCAUCAUCGAAUUUGUUUAUACGAAUACAGCCCUGUGUACAUAAAAUAGAUGCUCAUAUAUCCAAGGAGCACAAUCUACGACGUCUACAACCACAGGAAAGAGGAGGGGGCAUAUAAAAGAAAACCCCACAAGUCUCGGAGUAAUAAAAAAUGCACCUCCAUGUUCAUCGUAGGCAUGAAAAGUUCCUUGAAGUGUUCCAGCGAAAUAGUCUUGAGGGCCAUAAGCCUCAAGAUGAAGGCAACCCAGCUACUACGAAAGACAUAUACUUACUGAAAAAGUUAAAGCCACCCAGACUGGCUAAACAAAGAAAAUUGCUGAACGAUUUGAAGUCUCAUGGUAACUGAAUCAUCUUUUAUUCAGAUGAGAAACAAUGGACUGUUGAGAGAUCCCACUUCAUCUAGAACGACAGAUAGUUGACCAUAGAAAGAACUAAUAUCCCCACGUUUUUAAAACUAAGUUUCUGGCCAGCAUCAUGACCUUUGGGGCUAUUGUGAACAAGGGUAAUAUCAUCCCGGUCAUCUCCUUUGAGCCAAAGGAGAGAGUACUGUUGAAUUAAGGACUCUAUGAUUGUUCUAUACAUCAUUUAUGUUUAUAUUGUGAUGACAUUCCGUGUUUCUUUUGUAAAUGAUUUCAGUUAUAUAUCUGUAAAUAAAGAAAACACAUGUUUCUGAGGGUUAAAAGUAAGAUAAAACAAGUGGGUACCCACAUGAACUUUGAUUUCCUGUCAAACCAUGUGAUACCAUAGAUGAAA